rnacentral:rRNA from 1 species
GAUGAACGCUAGCUACAGGCUUAACACAUGCAAGUCGAGGGGAAACGACAUCGAAAGCUUGCUUCCUUUGGGCGUCGACCGGCGCACGGGUGAGUAACGCGUAUCCAACCUUCCCGCAAGUAAGGGAUAACCCGUAGAAAUGCGGCCUAAUACCUUAUGCUGUCAUUAAGAUGCAUAUAUUGAUGACGAAAGGACUGGCGGUAUGGGAUGGGGAUGCGUCUGAUUAGCUUGUUGGCGGGGUAACGGCCCACCAAGGCGACGAUCAGUAGGGGUUCUGAGAGGAAGGUCCCCCACAUUGGAACUGAGACACGGUCCAAACUCCUACGGGAGGCAGCAGUGAGGAAUAUUGGGUCAAUGGGCGAGAGCCUGAACCAGCCAAGUAGCGUGCAGGAUGACGGCCCUAUGGGUUGUAAACUGCUUUUAUACGGGGAUAAAGUGGGCCACGUGUGGCUUAUUGCAGGUACCGUAUGAAUAAGGACCGGCUAAUUCCGUGCCAGCAGCCGC